GACGGAGGAUGCAAGCGUUAUCCGGAAUGAUUGGGCGUAAAGCGUCCGCAGGUGGCAGUUCAAGUCUGCUGUCAAAGACCGGGGCUUAACUUCGGAAAGGCAGUGGAAACUGAACAGCUAGAGUAUGGUAGGGGCAGAGGGAAUUCCUGGUGUAGCGGUGAAAUGCGUAGAUAUCAGGAAGAACAUCGGUGGCGAAGGCGCUCUGCUGGACCAUAACUGACACUCAGGGACGAAAGCUAGGGGGGCGAAUGGG
rnacentral:rRNA from 1 species